CCUACGGGAGGCAGCAGUAGGGAAUCUUCCACAAUGGACGAAAGUCUGAUGGAGCAACGCCGCGUGAGUGAAGAAGGGUUUCGGCUCGUAAAACCCUGUUGGUAGAGAAGAAAGAUAGUGGUAGUAACUGUUCUUUUUUUGACGGUAAUUACCUAGAAAGUCACGGCUAACUACGUGCCAGCAGCCGCGGUAAUACGUAGGUGGCAAGCGUUGUCCGGAUUUAUUGGGCGUAAAGCGAGCGCAGGCGGUUUUUUAAAUCUGUUUUGAAA
rnacentral:rRNA from 1 species